CCUCAAGUGAUCUGCCCAACUCGGCCUCCCAAAGUGUUGGGAUUACAGGCGUGAGCCACUGCGCCUGGCUACCAAAACUAUUUAUUUUGACUUUUCAUUGACUGGUUACUCCUGAAAAUCUUUUUUAUCUUAAUCUCUGGCUUAAAGAAAUACAGGAUAUUUCUUAUCCUGAGCAAACACAGGAUCAGAAAUCAGAAGAUUAGUGUAUAUGUGGCCUCGGUCACUUAGCUCCUUCGAAACUUAAUUUUCUCUACUGAAAAAAAAAAAACAAUGGGAGUGAUAAUUCCCACUGCAAAAGGCUUUUGUUUUGAGGAUGAGAUUUUAGAUGAAAUAAUAAAUGUAUGCAUAGCCUAUUCCUGACACAUGAUAUAAACUCAAAUAAAAGUCGCUAUUGCCAUUAUCUAUUAUACUCUGUAAAUUAGGAAUAACAAAACCAUUUCUGCUUACUUCUCAGGGUCCAUUCAAGAAUUGUGUCCACAAUAUACCAGGCACUCGUCUAGACCUGCAUCGUCUAAUGCCCACCUCAGCCUCCCAAAGUGUUAGGAUUACAGGCGUGAGCCACCGCACCCUGCCUGCAUGUGGCUAUUGAGAUGUGCUGUAUGAUACACACCAGACUUUGAAGACUCAGUGUGAAAAACAAAAAGAAUUUUAAGAGGGUGGGGGUCGAGGGGAGGCAGAGCAUUGGAACAAAUAGAAAAGUUUAAAAGGCUUGUGUGACAUCAUUGAACGGAGCUGUUCUAAACGUGGGUACGACAAUGCAGAGCUUCGGCUGCAGAACAGAGAAUGAAAUAAUAGACCCGUAAGACAGAGAAGUGAUGAUCGUGACUGCUAGGGUGUUUCCAGCAUAGGCCGGUGACGGGAACGAGGAGCGCGGGGAUGAGAGCCGAUGUGGGCGAGAGGGCGUGCAAUGCGGGGUCAGGCGUUGGAUUCAUCUCCCAGGAGUUGAAAAAGGUGCUGAAAUAGUGCAUUCUCGGUGUCAAACGGAUGCUUGGAAUGGAUGGAUAGAUUGGAUACCUGGUCCCUCCAAAUCUCAUGUUGAAAUCUGACUCCCGGUGUUGGUGGUGGAGCCUAUCUUCGAG